GGGUAGCUCAGUGGUAGAGCGCUCGGCUGUAGACCGAGUGGUCGCAGGUUCAAAUCCUGCCCC
rnacentral:tRNA from 2 species